GUAGGGACUAGCUAACAGUCGUGGGUCGUGGGUAGAAUGUCGUGGGUCGUGGGUAAAAGGGCGUGGGUCGUGGGUAAAAAGGCGUGGGUCGUGGGUAAAAAGGCGUGGGUCGUGGGUAAAAAGGCGUGGGUCGUGGGUAAAAAGGCGUGGGUCGUGGGUAAAAAGGCGUGGGUCGUGGGUAAAAAGGCGUGGGUCGUGGGUAAAAAGGCGUGGGUCGUGGGUAGAAAGGCGUGGGUCGUGGGUAAAAAGGCGUGGGUCGUGGGUAAAAAGGCGUGG